GGGGAGAUACCCUAGUGGUCAAAGGGAGCAGACUGUAAAUCUGCCGGCGAAGCCUUCGGAGGUUCAAAUCCUUCUCUCCCCACCA
rnacentral:tRNA from 4 species